GCAUUGAUGGUCUAAUGGUUAGGAUUGCUGCCUUCCAUGAUCCGAUAGCAGCAGGUUCGGGUUCAAUUCCCGUACGUGAU